GCACUGAUGAAGAGUCCCACAAUAGGACAAAACGGCCGUCCAAUGC
rnacentral:hammerhead_ribozyme from 1 species